GAAACCGUGUACGUACAAGCAGUGGGAGCCUCUUUUAUGGGGUGACUGCGUACCUUUUGUAUAAUGGGUCAGCGACUUAUAUUCUGUAGCAAGGUUAACCGAAUAGGGGAGCCGAAGGGAAACCGAGUCUUAACUGGGCGUUAAGUUGCAGGGUAUAGACCCGAAACCCGGUGAUCUAGCCAUGGGCAGGUUGAAGGUUGGGUAACACUAACUGGAGGACCGAACCGACUAAUGUUGAAAAAUUAGCGGAUGACUUGUGGCUGGGGGUGAAAGGCCAAUCAAACCGGGAGAUAGCUGGUUCUCCCCGAAAGCUAUUUAGGUAGCGCCUCGUGAAUUCAUCUCCGGGGGUAGAGCACUGUUUCGGCAAGGGGGUCAUCCCGACUUACCAACCCGAUGCAAACUGCGAAUACCGGAGAAUGUUAUCACGGGAGACACACGGCGGGUGCUAACGUCCGUCGUGAAGAGGGAAACAACCCAGACCGCCAGCUAAGGUCCCAAAGUCAUGGUUAAGUGGGAAACGAUGUGGGAAGGCCCAGACAGCCAGGAUGUUGGCUUAGAAGCAGCCAUCAUUUAAAGAAAGCGUAAUAGCUCACUGGUCGAGUCGGCCUGCGCGGAAGAUGUAACGGGGCUAAACCAUG
rnacentral:rRNA from 1 species